GCCAACGUAGCUCAACAGCAGAGCAGCGCAUUUGUAAUGCGCAGGCUGUCGGUGCAAGUCCGACCGUUGGCU
rnacentral:tRNA from 1 species